UACGAAGGGGGCUAGCGUUGUUCGGAAUCACUGGGCGUAAAGGGUGCGUAGGCGGGUCUUUAAGUCAGGGGUGAAAUCCUGGAGCUCAACUCCAGAACUGCCUUUGAUACUGAGGAUCUUGAGUUCGGGAGAGGUGAGUGGAACUGCGAGUGUAGAGGUGAAAAUUCGUAGAUAUUCGCAAGAACACCGGUGGCGAAGGCGGCAUCCUGGACCGGUAUUGACGCUGAGGCGCGAAAAGCUAGGGGAGCAAACGGGG
rnacentral:rRNA from 1 species